rnacentral:lncRNA from 1 species
UGAAUUGUUAAUUUUACUAUGUUUAAUUUGUUUGGAUCAUUAUAAUUUUGAUCUUUGAUUAUAGGGCUACAAGUUAAUUUUGAUCGUUGUUAUUGUAGUUGGAUCAUAGGAAUUUUAUUGGGUUGUUGUUGAUGAUGAUUAUAGGGUUACUAGUUGUAUUCCACCACCAGUCAUUUCUCUUUUGGGAUCUUCUGUUACAAGUUCCUCUUGUUUAGUUUUGGAUCUUCUGUUACAAGUUCCUCUUGUUUAGUUUUGGUCACAUUUUCAAAGAUGGAAUUUUGUAUAUCAUUAAAGCAUAGCAAUGGCAACAAUUGAAUAGAAGAGAAAUGCUGAUGGCUUGAUUAAAACAUAAGCUUGGUUAAAAGGAUUCCUAUAAGUGGACACUUCGAAUUGUGCAGCAUUCCGUGAAGCCUCUCCGUUUUCUCUUUCUUGUUUUAUGUUUUGCUUUCACCUCUAGAAUUGAAGUCUGG